UACGUAGGUGACCAGCGUUGUCCGGAUUUACUGGGCGUAAAGAGCGCGCAGGCGGUCGUUCAAGUCGAGUGUGAAAGCCCCCGGCUCAACUGGGGAGGGUCAUUCGAUACUGAUCGACUCGAAGGCAGGAGAGGGAAGCGGAAUUCCCGGUGUAGUGGUGAAAUGCGUAGAUAUCGGGAGGAACACCAGUGGCGAAGGCGGCUUCCUGGCCUGUUCUUGACGCUGAGGCGCGAAAGCUAGGGGAGCAAACGGGGAUUAAGAAACCCGG
rnacentral:rRNA from 1 species